rnacentral:rRNA from 1 species
UNUGACUUGAGUGCAGAAGGGGAGAGUGGAAUUCCAUGUGUAGCGGUGAAAUGCGUAGAUAUAUGGAGGANCACCAGUGGCGAAAGCGGCUCUCUGGUCUGUCACUGACGCUGAGGCUCGAAAGCGUGGGUAGCGAACAGGAUUAGAUACCCUGGUAGUNCACGCCGUAAACGAUGAGUGCUAGGUGUUAGGCCCUUUCCGGGGCUUAGUGCCGGAGCUAACGCAAUAAGCACUCCGCCUGGGGAGUACGACCGCAAGGUUGAAACUCAAAGGAAUUGACGGGGGCCCGCACAAGCGGUGGAGCAUGUGGUUUAAUUCGAAGCAACGCGAAGAACCUUACCAGGUCUUGACAUCCCGAUGCUAUUCUUAGAGAUAGGAAGUUACUUCGGUACAUCGGAGACAGGUGGUGCAUGGUUGUCGUCAGCUCGUGUCGUGAGAUGUUGGGUUAAGUCCCGCAACGAGCGCAACCCUUAUUGUUAGUUGCCAUCAUUAAGUUGGGCACUCUAGCGAGACUGCCGGUAAUAAACCGGAGGAAGGUGGGGAUGACGUCAAAUCAUCAUGCCCCUUAUGACCUGGGCUACACACGUGCUACAAUGGUCGGUACAACGAGUUGCGAGCCGGUGACGGCAAGCUAAUCUCUGAAAGCCGAUCUCAGUUCGGAUUGGAGGCUGCAACUCGCCUCCAUGAAGUCGGAAUCGCUAGUAAUCGCGGAUCAGCACGCCGCGGUGAAUACGUUCCCGGGCCUUGUACACA